rnacentral:rRNA from 1 species
AGUGAACGCUGGCGGUAGGCCUAACACAUGCAAGUCGAACGGCAGCACAGUAAGAGCUUGCUCUUACGGGUGGCGAGUGGCGGACGGGUGAGGAAUACAUCGGAAUCUACUUUUUCGUGGGGGAUAACGUAGGGAAACUUACGCUAAUACCGCAUACGACCUACGGGUGAAAGCAGGGGAUCUUCGGACCUUGCGCGAUUGAAUGAGCCGAUGUCGGAGUAGCUAGUUGGCGGGGUAAAGGCCCACCAAGGCGACGAUCCGUAGCUGGUCUGAGAGGAUGAUAGGCCAAACUGGAACUGAGACACGGUCCAGACUCCUACGGGAGGCAGCAGUGGGGAAUAUUGGACAAUGGGCGCAAGCCUGAUCCAGCCAGACCGCGUGGGUGAAGAAGGCCUUCGGGUUGUAAAGCCCUUUUGUUGGGAAAGAAAAGCAGCAGGUUAAUACCCCGCUGUUCUGACGGUACCCAAAGAAUAAGCACCGGCUAACUUCGUG